CGCCCUCUAGAGUAUUCGAAACCCUAACUACUGGGUAGAAACCAGUCAUGAUAUCCAUUUCACCAAAAGGGC
rnacentral:tRNA from 1 species